rnacentral:rRNA from 1 species
GAGUUUGAUCAUGGCUCAGAUUGAACGCUGGCGGAAUGCUUUACACAUGCAAGUCGAACGGCAGCACGGGGGCAACCCUGGUGGCGAGUGGCGAACGGGUGAGUAAUACAUCGGAACGUGCCCAGUCGUGGGGGAGUAACGUAGCGAAAGCUACGCUAAUACCGCAUACGAACUCAGGUUGAAAGCGGGGGAUCGCAAGACCUCGCGCGAUUGGAGCGGCCGAUGGCAGAUUAGGUAGUUGGUGGGGUAAAGGCUCACCAAGCCGACGAUCUGUAGCUGGUCUGAGAGGACGACCAGCCACACUGGGACUGAGACACGGCCCAGACUCCUACGGGAGGCAGCAGUGGGGAAUUUUGGACAAUGGGCGCAAGCCUGAUCCAGCCAUUCCGCGUGCAGGAUGAAGG